CACGUAGGGCGCAAGCGUUGUCCGGAAUUAUUGGGCGUAAAGAGCUCGUAGGCGGUCUGUUGCGUCCGCUGUGAAAACCCGGGGCUUAACCCCUGGCUUGCAGUGGAUACGGACAGACUAGAGGUAGGUAGGGGAGAAUGGAAUUCCCGGUGUAGCGGUGAAAUGCGCAGAUAUCGGGAGGAACACCGGUGGCGAAGGCGGUUCUCUGGGCAUUACCUGACGCUGAGGAGCGAAAGUGUGGGGAGCGAACAGG
rnacentral:rRNA from 1 species